rnacentral:lncRNA from 1 species
GACUCACCGAGCGACGCCUGCACCGCUUCGGCCGCAGAGAAAGCGAGCAGCGAGCCCUCCUUGGCCAAGAAGGCUUUGCCGUCUUCCGCAUCCGCUUGGAGCGCCUCGGCUUUGUCGAAGUUGCCGCCUCCGGGCAGUGGCUGUGGAGCGAACUUGCGGGCAGCCGCCGCCUCUUGGUGCUGGGGCGACGCAGAGAAGCCGCCGGGCAGAGUGGCCAUGAGCGUGGAGGCACUAAUUAAGCACGUUGGCAACGGAGGGAGCUCUCACCCUGGCUCUGCGCAGCGCGAGGACUCCUGGGCACGCGGUUCCCCUUUGCGGACUGCUGGAUGGAGCUGAGUCCCUCAAGAUAUUUCCCCUGUUCUCGACAAUGGCAGAUCCUGCCAAGCGCGUUGGGCUUCCUCGGGUCCCCCUGCCUGUUCUUCAGAUUCCUUGGUCUAGACGUCCUUUCGGAACUGCUGACAGCACCAGGCCAAGGAGCAAAGGAGGGCAUUGUUAUAUAGGUCAUUAAAAAAUCAGUUCACCCGGAAGAGCUCUGGCUGGGGAGUUGGCUCAUGUUGGACGUGUGUUAUGUAUCACAAGCACAUUUAAUUGGGAGAUAAAGAUAAAUCGAUCUUUAUGAAUUUAUCGACCCGA